rnacentral:rRNA from 1 species
UACGUAGGGUGCGAGCGUUGUCCGGAAUUAUUGGGCGUAAAGGGCUCGUAGGCGGUCUGUUGCGUCAGGAGUGAAAACUCGGGGGCUUAACCCCGAGCCUGCUUCUGAUACGGGCAGACUAGAGGUAUGCAGGGGAGAACGGAAUUCCUGGUGUAGCGGUGAAAUGCGCAGAUAUCAGGAAGAACACCCGUGGCGAAGGCGGUUCUCUGGGACGGUACUGACGCUGAGACGCGAAAGCGUGGGGAGCAAACGGG